CUGCCUGUCUGUCUGCCUGUCUGCCUGUCUGUCCGUCUGUCUGUCUGAGAGGGACGACCAGGACCUCGAGGGAACGUCCGUGAAGGAAGCCUCAGCUCAGGAAGCCUCAGCUCAGGAAAGCUGGUGUGUGUGUGUGUGUGUGUGUGUGUGUGUGUGUGUCUUCGUCCGUCCUGCUUUGCGAGUCUGUUUUCUGUCUGCAGGACGUCGACCGAGUCUGAGCUUCCUGUCCUUCACACUCUCACACACACACACACACACACACACACACACUACAGCCACACAUGGACAAUGAGGAAGAGGAGGGUGAGCAGGAGGAAGAGCUACGUUUUGGCACCUCCAGAAACCUUGGCAUGUGACUGCACCUCCCCCCCCCUC